GACGAACGCUGGCGGCGUGCUUAACACAUGCAAGUCGAACGGAAAGGCCCUGCUUUUGUGGGGUGCUCGAGUGGCGAACGGGUGAGUAACACGUGAGUAACCUGCCCUUGACUUUGGGAUAACUUCAGGAAACUGGGGCUAAUAACGGAUAGGAGCUCCUGCUGCAUGGUGGGGGUUGGAAAGUUUCGGCGGUUGGGGAUGGACUCGCGGCUUAUCAGCUUGUUGGUGGGGUAGUGGCUUACCAAGGCUUUGACGGGUAGCCGGCCUGAGAGGGUGACCGGCCCCAUUGGGACUGAGAUACGGCCCAGACUCCUACGGGAGGCAGCAGUGGGGAAUAUUGCACAAUGGGCGGAAGCCUGAUGCAGCAACGCCGCGUGCGGGAUGACGGCCUUCGGGUUGUAAACCGCUUUCGCCUGUGACGAAGCGUGAGUGACGGUAAUGGGUAAAGAAGCACCGGCUAACUACGUG
rnacentral:rRNA from 1 species